GACGAACGCUGGCGGCGUGCUUAACACAUGCAAGUCGAACGGUAAGGCCCUUCGGGGUACACGAGUGGCGAACGGGUGAGUAACACGUGGGUGAUCUGCCCUGCACUUCGGGAUAAGCCUGGGAAACUGGGUCUAAUACCGGAUAGGACCACUGCCUGCAUGGGUGGUGGUGGAAAGCUUUUGCGGUGUGGGAUGGGCGCGCGGCCUAUCAGCUGGUUGGUGGGGUGAUGGCCUACCAAGGCGACGACGGGUAGCCGGCCUGAGAGGGUGACCGGCCACGCUGGGACUGAGAUACGGCCCAGACUCCUACGGGAGGCAGCAGUGGGGAAUAUUGCACAAUGGGCGCAAGCCUGAUGCAGCGACGCCGCGUGAGGGAUGACGGCCUUCGGGUUGUAAACCUCUUUCAGCACCGACGAAGCGCAAGUGACGGUAGGUGCAGAAGAAGGACCGGCCAACUACGUGCCAGCCGCCGCCGUAA
rnacentral:rRNA from 1 species